CAGCAGCCACGGGAAUACAGAGGGUGCGAGCGUUAAUCGGAUUUACUGGGCGUAAAGCGUGCGUAGGCGGCUUCUUAAGUCGGAUGUGAAAUCCCUGAGCUUAACUUAGGAAUUGCAUUCGAUACUGGGAAGCUAGAGUAUGGGAGAGGAUGGUAGAAUUCCAGGUGUAGCGGUGAAAUGCGUAGAGAUCUGGAGGAAUACCGAUGGCGAAGGCAGCCAUCUGGCCUAAUACUGACGCUGAGGCACGAAAGCGUGGGGAUCAAACAGGAUUAGAUACCCCCGUAGUCCCUGUCUCUUAUAC
rnacentral:rRNA from 1 species